rnacentral:rRNA from 1 species
UACGUGAGCAGCAAGCGUUGUUCGGAGUUACUGGGCGUAAAGGGUGCGUAGGCGGCUUCUUAAGUCUGGUGUGAAAUCUCCCGGCUCAACUGGGAGGGUGCGCCGGAUACUGAGGGGCUAGAGUGUGGGAGAGGAAAGUGGAAUUCCUGGUGUAGCGGUGAAAUGCGUAGAUAUCAGGAGGAACACCGGUGGUGUAAACGGCUUUCUGGACCAUAACUGACGCUGAGGCACGAAAGCGUGGGUAGCAAACAGG